CAGCAGACAGGCUUGGUUAUUCGGCUCUGUGGUCUGUGAGCCCGUAGCUAGUUCUGUCGCUCCAUCACGGAGGAUUUCAUCUCUAAAGUUACGGUUACAUUUUUGGCUGACCACAUGAUCUGGGUGUGACACUUUUGACGUAGACACAAACGGUGGUGAACGGCGGUGCCAUUGGGCAAAACAAAGGCCAGGGAAGGGAAUUACCUUUUAUUCGCAUAGCUAGUGCACUUGUGAUAAGUUUGGCAGAAACUUAUCAACGGUGUCAAAGGUUCUUGGGACACCAACCGGAAAUAACGUUAACCCAGAAUGCGCCAGACAGCAAAAAACAAUCCCUCCACUCCUGCAGAGACUGGCUGAAGUCCAUACGGCUCAUUGGUAUCUUCACAGCUCCGAUGGCAUCGUGUUUUGAGAAACGGUCGAAGUCGUACACAGUCAUCACCAGUGUCUUCCCACCCAGCUCAGUGUAUGAGGUGGAGGAGGAGGAGAAAAGAUGACAGGACCAGAGAGGGCAG